CGCCUAACACAUGCAAGUCGAACGAAGUAGCAAUACUUAGUGGCAAACGGGUGAGUAAUAUGUGGGAAUCUGCCUUUUGGCCUGGAAUAACACGAGGAAACUUGUGCUAAUACUGGAUAAGCCUUUACAGGGAAAGCUUUAUGCACCGAUAGAUGAGCCCGCACUUGAUUAGUUUGUUGGUGAGGUAAUGGCUCACCAAGACUAUGAUCAAUAGCUGAUUUGAGAGGAUGAUCAGCCACAUUGGGACUGAGACACGGCCCAAACUCCUACGGGAGGCAGCAGUGGGGAAUCUUGCACAAUGGGGGAAACCCUGAUGCAGCGAUGCCGCGUGAGUGAAGAAGGCCUUUGGGUUGUAAAGCUCUUUCGUCGGGGAAGAAAAUGACUGUACCCGAAUAAGAAGGUCCGGCUAACUUCGUGCCAGCAGCCGCGGUAAUACGAAGGGACCUAGCGUAGUUCGGAAUUACUGGGCUUAAAGAGUUCGUAGGUGGUUAAAAAAGUUGAUGGUGAAAGCCCAGAGCUUAACUCUGGAACUGCCAUCAAAACUUUUUAGCUAGAGUAUGAUAGAGGAAAGUAGAAUUUCUAGUGUAGAGGUGAAAUUCGUAGAUAUUAGAAAGAAUACCAAUUGCGAAGGCAACUUUCUGGAUCAUUACUGACACUGAGGAACGAAAGCAUGGGUAGCGAAGAGGAUUAGAUACCCUCGUAGUCCAUGCCGUAAACGAUGUGUGCUAGACGUUGGAAAUUUAUUUUUCAGUGUCGCAGCAAAAGCGUUAAGCACACCGCCUGGGGAGUACGACC
rnacentral:rRNA from 1 species